rnacentral:rRNA from 1 species
AGGCAGCAGUGGGGAAUAUUGCACAAUGGGCGCAAGCCUGAUGCAGCCAUGCCGCGUGUAUGAAGAAGGCCUUCGGGUUGUAAAGUACUUUCAGCGAGGAGGAAGGUGCUGCGGUUAAUAACCGCAGCAAUUGACGUUACUCGCAGAAGAAGCACCG